rnacentral:rRNA from 1 species
UACGAAGGGGGCUAGCGUUGCUCGGAAUCACUGGGCGUAAAGCGCACGUAGGCGGAUUUUAAGUCAGGGGUGAAAUCCUGGAGCUCAACUCCAGAACUGCCUUUGAUACUGGGAAUCUCGAGUCCGGGAGAGGUGAGUGGAACUGCGAGUGUAGAGGUGAAAUUCGUAGAUAUUCGCAAGAACACCAGUGGCGAAGGCGGCUCACUGGCCCGGUACUGACGCUGAGGUGCGAAAGCGUGGGGAGCAAACAGG